CAGCCGCCGCGGUAAUACGUAGGUGGCAAGCGUUGUCCGGAAUUAUUGGGCGUAAAGGGCUCGCAGGCGGUUUCUUAAGUCUGAUGUGAAAGCCCCCGGCUCAACCGGGGAGGGUCAUUGGAAACUGGGAAACUUGAGUGAAGAAGAGGAGAGUGGAAUUCCACGUGCAGCGGUGAAAUGCGUAGAGAUGUGGAGGAACACCAGUGGCGAAGGCGACUCUCUGGUCUGUAACUGACGCUGAGGAGCGAAAGCGUGGGGAGCGAACGGGAUUAGAUACCCCGGUAGUCCCUGUCUCUUAUAA
rnacentral:rRNA from 1 species